UCUGGAUUCUAGGUUGUUGGCAGAACAGCAUACCAUUGGCUACUCUGAGCCUGAUCCUAAUGAUGUUGGCAAGCAAAGUUCUGUUGGUUGCCUAGAACCUGAUCCUGAUGACUCCUCAAAUGUUGAUAUUCUGAACCAGGAGCUGAGGUUUGAUGGAAGACAGCAUAGCGAACCUGAUCCUGAUGAUGGUACAAAUGAAUUUGUUCUGGAAUAUGGAAACAAGAUGGAAGUGGAUAGUGAACUGACAAACAACAUCACAGUUUUGAAGUCUGAACCUGACCCUGAUGAUUCCUCAAACGCCAUGUUGGUCAUUGAUGGGAAGCAGGGUGGAGAACCUGAUCCUGAUGAUACUACUUGUCUAGUUUCAAAAUCUGGAGAUGAGACGGAAGUUAUAACAGCUCAGCGUAGAAGCUCCGCAGUUUUGAAGUCAGAACCUGAUCCUAACGAUUGUAUUGGUGAUUUAAAAAGCAAUGAGCUGCAAAUGAUUGAAGAACCAGUGGCAGCGCUCUGCGCUCGACUCCAGAAGUCCAUUG
rnacentral:lncRNA from 1 species